ACACACCCAUCAAGCUGGGCCACGGACCAGAGCCAUAGAACUGGCUCCUAACCACCAGGCGCCCAGAGGGCUAGUCAGGCGAGUAAGACCCUAGUCGCUGGGAUCUCGAAGUCUGGACUCAGGAACCAGCUAGUGGCCAGACUCCGCCUUGACGGAACAGAGUCCUCCCCGCCCUUUUGGAGCUGGGAGCCGCGGGGGGCCCGGCACCCGGCACCGCCCUCGCCCACUGCUCACACAAUGGGGCGCGUCGAGGGGCGGCCCGGCUUGAGCUUCAGACCUAGCCCUCAUUGCCUAACUCCCGGUUGUUGCCAAAGCACCUGAUGACCUCAGACUAUUGCCCACCCUCAGGAGGGUGCAGAAGCUUGGGAGCAGCAGCCCUGGGGGGGGUGGGGGGGGGGAGAAAA
rnacentral:lncRNA from 1 species